rnacentral:rRNA from 1 species
GACAGAGGUGCCAAGCGUUAGGCGGAAUCACUGGGCUUAAAGCGUGUGUAGGCGGGCGAUCAAGUACCUUGUGAAAUCCCCCGGCUCAACCGGGGAACGGCUGGGUAUACUGGCGGUCUUGAGCCAUCCAGGGGCAGUCGGAACAGACGGUGGAGCGGUGAAAUGCGUAGAUAUCAUUUGGAACGCCAAUGGUGAAAACAGCUCGCUGGGAAUGAUCUGACACUGAGACGCGAAAGCCAGGGGAGCGAACGGG